rnacentral:misc_RNA from 1 species
GCGCCGAGUGUAUUGCGAGCCAAGUGUGUUGUGCGUGCGAGUGUGUGCUGCAGCCGCCCCCGCGCUUCCCACAACGGUCGUAUGCAUGUUGUGCUGUGAGUUUCCAAACAUGGCGCUGCACAACGGAGUAUUGGAUUCGGUUGUCAUCCACAACGGCAACGGCGAGCUGGCACCCGUCAAGGACCACGACGCCAUCAAGCUGUUUGUGGGCCAGAUUCCCCGUAACCUGGAUGAAAAAGACCUGCGGCCGCUCUUCGAGCAGUUCGGAAAGAUCUACGAGCUCAUCGUGCUCAAGGACAAGUACACCGGAAUGCACAAGGGUUGUGCCUUCCUCACGUACUGCGCCCGGGACAGCGCCAUCAAAGCACAGCACGCCCUCCACGAGCAGAAGACUCUUCCUGGGAUGAACCGUCCAAUUCAAGUGAAGCCGGCCGAUAGCGAAAACAGAGGAGAGGAUCGAAAGCUGUUCGUGGGCAUGCUGAGCAAGCAGCAGACGGAAGACGACGUGCGCCAGCUGUUCCAGUCCUACGGCACGAUAGAGGAGUGCACCAUCCUCCGGGGCCCCGACGGCCAGAGCAAAGGUUGUGCAUUUGUCAAGUUUAGUACACACACUGAAGCACAGGCAGCUAUCAAUGCUCUCCACGGCAGCCAGACAAUGCCGGGUGCGUCGUCUAGUCUAGUGGUGAAAUUUGCCGACACCGAGAAAGAGCGGCAGCUUCGGCGGAUGCAGCAGAUGGCGGGCAACAUGGGCCUCCUCAAUCCUUUCAUCUUCAACCAGUUCGGCGCGUACGGCGCCUAUGCGCAGGAGCAACUGCCGGCGACCACCGGGGAGCAGGCGCAGUACCUGCCUCACGUCGGAAGAGCACUGUAUCACACGGCUACGCUGAUGCAGCAGCAAGCCGCGCUGAUGGCGGCCGCCCAGGGAGGGUACAUGAACCCGAUGGCAGCGCUGGCCGCCGCACAGAUCCCCACCAUCGGCGCCAUGCCCAACGGACUGGCCAGCCCCGCGCUUACACCAACCUCCGGCGCCACGACGCACCCGGUGAAUGGAGCACUCCCAUCCCCGACCGUGACCAGUUUCACAGUGGCUCAGGCGAAUGGACAGGCGGGUGAAGUCUACACAAACGGCAUGCCUCACUAUCCAUUGCAUUCCGGGCCUCCCGACGCCGUUCGAGUUAUUCUACAGGAAUUGCCCAGCCAUCUUCAUACAGAAGCCCAGGCAGUUCCGAACGGCGACGCCCUCCAGCCCGCGGCCUACCCGGCGCUGCAGCCCUUCGCCGGCAUCCCCACCUACCCUGCGGCAUAUGGCCAGUUCGCCCAAGCCCUCACACAGCAGCCGGCGGUGGUUCCUCAGACUCAGCGAGAGGGUCCCGAAGGCUGCAACCUGUUCAUCUACCACCUUCCUCAGGAAUUUGGAGACGCUGAGCUGAUGCAGAUGUUCAUGCCCUUCGGCAAUGUCAUCAGCGCCAAAGUCUUCAUCGACCGUGCCACAAACCAGAGCAAGUGCUUUGGCUUCGUCAGUUUCGACAACCCAGCGAGCGCACAGGCGGCCAUCCAGGCAAUGAAUGGCUUUCAGAUCGGCAUGAAGCGGCUCAAAGUGCAACUGAAGCGUCCUAAGGACGCCAACAGGCCCUACUGAGCAACAGCAUUGCUGCACGCUGCCUCGCAGGGGGCUGCUGACCACUCAGCCCUUCUACUCAGUGCCUCUCUUCGGUUAACUCACGGCCCCUAUCCCCACCAAUGUUGCAAGACCUUCGUGGGAACUUGAGAGUUGUAGUUAGAUGAGCAGUGUACCAUAGCCGCCACUGAGCGCGUCUUAGAGGUGAGCGCAGUGUUAGAAGGUUUGUUAGUCCGCCUGAAACAAGAAAUCAUGCUUCAGGGCUCAAUGAACGCAUCCUUUUCGGCUUAUCAGAAGAGCUUCUAUUAUUACCAUUAUGAAAGGCGCGCGAGAAACACUAUGAAAAGUAGUCAGUCUAGCCAAGUAGGUUUCGUAGUCAAACCCAACCAGGCCUUGACACAGCUAAUAUAUAAGCUUUCGCCAGCGUUUACUUCGAGAGACAGCAGGACGGGAUGUAGAUGACGCCCCACUUGUAGUCUCGCUAUGUACACUCGACGCAAGGCAGGCCGAGGCGGCGCGAGAGGCUUAGCGUCGGUCUCGUUUCGCCCCCUCUGCCGCCCCCUGGUGGGCUUUUCCCGAAAGACGGCGAUCCAGUGGCGACAAGAGACGACCGCCGCCGGCACCCACUCGGGAAGGGCACACCCCACGGCAGCAUCCAUAUCAGUAUCGGCGCUGGAAGUGCCCUCUCGCGGCGGCAUCGUGACUGUUGUGCCAGUGCGCGCGUGGGCCAUUUCAUUUUCUGCACGCUCCGGCCGCACUGCACACUUUCUUUUCACACAAACAAGCAUACACUCAGAAGCACACGCACAAACACACGCUCAGUCAUGUAUACACACGGAGAUACACAAGUACACAGGCGCAUUCCGCGCGGCCCGACAAAAAGGACCUGCGCAGGCGUGAAACUGACUCUGUUGACAAGUGCGUCCCAGCAGCGCCAAGUUCUGUAGUUGAUCUAGCGAUGUAGUACUAUAGGUAGAGGUCACCUGUACAUACGAAGAUAAGCGUAAAUACAGCAGUAUAUAAUAUACACACGCUGUACUGAUAAUACUAUAUAUGUAUACAUAUUAUAUAUAUAUAUAAAAGAAAAGAAAAAAACUAUAUUAUAUAUAUAUACACAUACCAGAGGAUUUCUAGAGAGGAAGACGAAGCGAAAAAAAAGUAACGAUUUCGUACAGGUCCCACGCUCGGGUGACUUGCGUGGUUGUUUGUAGAGACGACUAUUUUUGAUCACACGAAGUUUUUUGUGAACGACGCAGCCAAGGCGAGGGAAGCUGUAUCCGUGAAUGGCUUUCCUCCUCUGUCUUUUGGUUACAGCUCUGGCUGCCGCCCUAGCUCUUUUCGCCUGAGUUUCGUGAAUCCAAGUGCGUCUUGUUACUGCAGCAGCGGGGUGUGAUUCACCUGGGACGCUGCUUGUCGUGUUUUUAUGUUUUCAUUUGCAUGGGAGUGUGUGUUGUCUUUGAACAGUGUGAGUGUGGCUGCCGUUAGCAACAGGGCGCUGUGUUCAGCUGCCGGUGUGUCGACCGAGGAGGUGCCUCCCGAAUUUCUCCCUCACGCGGCUACGCUACACUGGAGCUGUCUUUUGGACUCUUUAACAGCAGCGAACGUUUCAGCGACACUAAUGGAACUGGCCAAGUGACUGUUGAGAAGCCAGUGCUUCCCAUAUAGUCUGCGCAUAGGGACGGUAUGGACGAACUGCCUAAAUGUCACACCACUACUGACGCAGGGGAAGGACCCUCUAUAUGGGGCCCGUAUUUGCGUACUCCUUCCUUCGGACAGCUCUUUCUUUCAUCGCGCCAUGUUGCGUCCUUGUAUGUUGAGCACAAAAGAAGGAACCGGAGCGCCUCUGUGACAACGGUUAUCCUCUCAGUUCACAUAGGGCAUCGCAGUAGCAGGGGGAAAGCGUAUGAAAUGUUUCGCUGCCAAUGCAUAUUUAUCAUUCAAUAACCGAAAAAGCCGCUCCGCAAAAGAAGGAAAUUCGAAAUUCUGGAGUGGGCAAACGCGAAUUGCUUGCGAAAGCGCGCUCGCACGUCGCCGCACUAAGGUCAAUUGGGGCUGUUCGAGUUUUUGUUUGCUUGUUUUAUCGCUUUUAAGCCUCGAUGAACGUAUCAUGUUUGUAAGUGGGCCGUGCUGAAGAGCACUCAGCCACGUUGCGGCAGUGUCCUCAGCCGACACACCGGCAGUGCCAAUGUCGAUUGUAGCCGCCAGACUGACUGUUUUCUUUUCUGGGUGCUGUGUGAGCUCAUUUUGGUCUCAAGUCUCACUUGUGGUCUGAAUGCCGUUAAGUAUGCGAACUGUGUUAAGCAGACCUACAGGGUAAAUACAAAGAAAAAAAAACACUUGUACCUUUCCUCUGCGCGUUCUACCCUCGAGACAGGUUUAGCGCCCUCCCACAACACCAGCUGAUCUUUUGCUUACACUUGUCCGCCUCACGUCUUCUGCCUUACGCACUCAUCCGACUGGUCCCAUAGACCUAAGGCAGCUGAUUUCUAGGUUUCACUUUGGGCGUCGCCAUGCGUCGUGCUGCCUUCUUUCAUUCCACAAACUGGCUUGUUCGUACUCUGAGAUUCAUUCGCUUCAGCUCUGAGGGCGAGACUAACAGGGUAGUGAGGUCAGAGGCGGCUUGUUUCCGCACUUACCCUAUGGUAAGAGCCACCCCGUCGCACCUUUCUUCGUAGUUGAUCGUUUCAACCUGUGGCCCAGAAGCAGUGUCGUGCAUUACUGGCAUCGCUUCUUUGAUUGCACAUGCACAGAUCACGCGCACCGCUUCUUAUCACUUUGAACUAGUGCGUCCGAAUACGUAUUUCAAAUGUAUGCCUCGAUCGUUUCGAGAAAAAAAAAAGAACGUAAGGACAAGCGAUGCCGUAACCUGGCAAGAGUGAUCCGCCGAGAAGGCGUGAUCGCGGGUGGGUCCUUCUUUAGCCUCAGAUCGCUUGUCGCUCAUGCCCGAGACCGUCUCUCGCACUUCUCUCACAUCCUCUGCCGUCCAGAGGAGCGAACUCUGCACAUUCCUUACUCACCUGUCCUGCUCUUUCUUUCGGCCGUGCUAACCAUUCCAUGCGAGGACUGUCCACGUUGUCGAAGCCCUCGAAACAGCGACCAGCAGUUUCGAUGCGUCCUGCUACGCUGAACUCGCCUGUCCUCCUCCGCCCUGGCGGCCGGCUUUCACUCAGUGCCGGCCAAGCCGCCGGGAGGCUCGCCGAGAAGAGCCAAAGCGGAGACCGCGCACUUCCGAGUCGACGGACGACUGACGUCGCGGCUCGGAGAGCCGGCGUUCUAGCAUUUACAGAUUUUUCUAUGACCGUCGUCCUUGUGACGGUUGUUUCCCUGUAGUGUCCCACGCGCGCCGGAGCGACGUAGUCCGGUCAAGUUGUUGCCAAAGAUGUUAUGUUGAAAACCUUCGCACGAGCCGGCCUACGUGUGGCAGGACCUCGGGAGCCAAGUCGAGGCGCGGAGCGAACCGCUUGGUUUCUCUGAGUCACGAGAUGCCUUGGCACCCAUUCGUUACGAACACCCUGCCGACCAUCGCACGCUUCUUUUGUUAACACUUCCUUUUGCGCAUGAGUAUUAUCAUCGCACACUGGUUAUUACAGAAAUAUAAAUAAUAUAUAUCACGCCUAUAAAUCCAUAUUAUAUAUAUAUAUAAAGAUAUAUAAACGAAUCAUCUCCAUCGUCACGAUGAAAGCCGCGCAGGCGCGUCCGCCGAGAAGCCAUGCGCCACGCGGCUUUCACCUUCAUCUUCUCGGGGACGAUGCGGCGAGGCUUUGUCCUCCAGCGUUUGACGGGAGCUUCGUAACCAUUCUCCCUGUUUCUUGUGCGCGCUAUUAACAAUGUACAUACAAACACACACACACACACACACACAUCUUACCAGUCAGUAUGGCGACGGUCACACUCGUAACUGCUUUUUGGAUGGCGUUCUCUGGCGCGAGAUUUGGUGCCACCAACUCGGAGACCAAUGCCUUCCUCCCUGUUCUACGCGCGAGCCAAUCGGUACCGCGUACUUAACUGUAGAGCCAGGACAACACAGGGCUGUGCUGGAUAACCAACUCGAAAAUGGCCAAACAUUUAUCUUCUAGUUGUACAAACGCGGGUGUUCAGCCUCUUCUGUGAACUAACUUCCUUUUGUUCUUUACAGUUCGGUAGGUUGAGCAGUUUCACCGCACACCACAACACUGCGUUCUCGAAGUGCAUUUCGACGACAGCGCCACUGGUAUCGAGUGAACCCGCCGCGCUUCAUUGUUUUGCGUGUGGUUUGUGUUGGCCCCAGUAGAGAAGAACCACUUGGUGCGCUAUCAUUGUCGAUAGAGUGACGCUUACUCCCCUGUAUGGCGUAAGUCAUUUCUUCACAGGUAAAACGACUGCCCACCGAUUCUCGCUGCACUGUGCACGUCUGAUUUGUUUACACGCACAUUACAGGGAGGCCUUAGUGUUUUUCUUAUUUCGGAAAAGCUUUUUAGACAGGCCUUUGAGUCUUCCGAACUGAAGUCGCCAUAUAUUCAUUUCGAACUUGGUACUUUUUAAACGAGUCACAGGACUACUAUAUUGCCGUCGUUCCUUCUGUUCUCAGCGAAAGCAGGGUUGAACACUACCUUCCUCGGGCGGGAUGAAAGCAUUUGUCUUCGAUUGCGCGUCUCUCUUUUGAUGACGCGUCUUUUACAUCAGUUUCCACACCGGAAUGUCUCUUUCCUCAAUGUGCCAUCGCGUAAGGUUCGUUUCCAUUAAGGCAUUUUCAUCGCUGUCAACACACAGUGCAUACGCAGUCAUUAUUAGCAUUGCCACGCUUUCACGCAACACCUGAGCGCGUUAUUUGUUUACAGUGAGUGGACUUAUUGCUGCGCUUUCGUAUAUUCUUUCGCGGCGCUCUCGUUGACGAGUCCGUUGGAUAAUUUAUUGACUCACGACUUUUACGACUGUUGAAUUCUCUAGUCUUUUAAGUCAUUUUAUAUAUUUCAGUUGCGAUUUCUACGUGAUAGCGAGCCUAGGACUUACGGUGACGUUCUCACGGGAUGUUGUAGUAUUGAUUUUUACCGUUGUUUUCCUUUCUGCAAACUGGCAGGAGUUUGUUUGUAAUGGUGCAUUAUCAAGUAUUUUACUCACUUGGUAAUGUAGAGUGCGUAAUCGCGCAGAAGGGAAUGAUUUUUGUAUACUCCAGUAUUAUCCUUUUUUUUUUCACUUUCAAAGCUUUCGCAUGCAUUCAGCGAGCAAGAAAACUAGCAUUUUUGCUGAUUAGUCAUUUUAUUUUACACUUUGUUACCUGUGCAAUACUUUCGGACGAACCAAAGCAGUUAAUUCAUCGUUAUUCGCGUUCUUUUUUCUAUUUUUGAUGAAGAUUCGGUUACGAACAGCAUGGUCAGCGUCUUCGCGAAUGCAGCUCCGUAGCCUCUCUCUACUGUGGUACGCGAUAAUCUUAUCAUUAACGUUUUACCGUGAGCGGCACACUUCUACACUUAACCGUCAUUCAAGCUGAUCCUUGCUUUCACGAAUUGCGUGCUACAUUCGGCCACCAUGUGCUUAUGCUUAGAGGAGGACUGCGUCGGUUCCCAUAGACGUAAAAUAAAAUAAUGGCCAUCUGGCGCUCGCAAAAUUGCCUCUUCACAAUAACGGCACGUCAUGUUUUGCGUUCUUGGAGGCUGCCUGGCGUUUCCUGUUACUUUUUUUUCUUUUUGAAGGGUUUGUUAGUGCGCUCACGCGCGCUUGCACAAGACGCUUUCUAUAGGCACACACUUACGAACCAUUUUCGUUGCAUUGGAUUCACGGAUGCAUUGCACCGUUUCUACGUUACGGCAAGGCUCACAAUAGAACGAUGUUGUGCAGAGAUAACAUUUACUACAAAUGUUUUCACAGGUACUACGCUAACUUGUAGCCGUAUGAAUUUGCUCCCUCCCGUUUUGUUUUGUUUGAAUAUUUAUUUCGUUUAAAACCCGCUACAAACAGCUGCGCCGUAUGAAAGUCUCAAAGUAGCCGAACGGCAUUCGAUGCACGGUCAUUCCGUGAGAUCAACUUGCCGAGGCUCCAGGCUAUACAGAGAAGACACAGAGCUUCUAGACUAGUCCGCCAAAGCUUAGCGCGCAUGCGUGAAACUUGCCAAGAACAAGGAUGGCCCUCACAGUCUGCUUCAUGUGCCAUAUCACCCGCUUUGCGACGCUUGUGUUUUCUUCAACUCAUCGCCGCGCUUUCCUUUCCACGUCGUCUAGACUGUCUUGGUUGUGGUACGCGGCGGACGCCGGGCUUUUUCCCGUAGCUCCAGCGGUUGCCUGAACGACGCAUACUGCUGCAUAUACUGCACGCUACAUUCACACAGCGCGCUGUGGGAAUUACGUACAGGGAGUAGCUUUCCCGCACGUGCGUACACUUUUCAAACAACUCAAAAUUAAUGCCUUGACUAUUCACUUAAUAUUUCGGCGGGAACUUUGUGAACUGCAAUUCGUAUUACUCAGACAGACAAACACUAUUUGGCCUGACUUUUACUGCUAGUCCAGUGCUGUUUCUUUUUGUUCUUGUUUAUUUAGUGUCUAAGGUGAGCUUGCAUAUCUGACUAUGCCUGCAUGAGUCGAUCGGUCAGGGGGGAAAUACGUUAUUUGCUCGCUACCUUCAUAAUUACUUUUGCUGUGGCGUCAUACAUAUUAAGUUGACUAGAUACAUCAGUUACGGUAGUAGAUAGAUUGAAUUAAUUAGCAUUUUAAUUAGUGGAGACAGGCGGUUGGAUCAAAUGGGAGAAUUGGAAUCGUUCCUGCCAGAAACCCAUUGUCGCUUUGAGAUUUCGAAAAGGCGGCCUCUGGUAAUUAUUGCGGAGUGAUGACAUUCGACCAAGUUCGUCUGCGAAACCGACACCAAAGCGCCGAUGAGCGCAACUAGCAAGACCAGAAAUGACGUAAAUGAUCACGACAACGACUACAGUGGUGUUUGUUCUGCAUUCGUUAACGCGUGCGCCAUGCGUGCCGUAAUCGCAAGCGCACCCCGCACACCCACUAAGCGAAGUCGAUCGAUGGCUGAUGUAGCGAUGUUCGCUCAUUCUGGACGUCUCGAAAGAAUGUGGCAGUUGCACUCUUCCGCGUUUCGGUUUCCUCGGCGAUAUUGGUCAGAUUUCAUUGCUCUUCUUGGAAAGUGGCCAAGGGCUAUUCGCGGAAAGGGCUCCAAUUAUCCCAUUUGACCCGACCGCCAUUUGACCCGACCAGUUUCAUUCCUUCCAUUAUUGUCGCAAUUGAUGUCUCUAGUCAUCUCGAGAUGUCUGCCGCCACAGAAAGAGUAAUUAUGAAAGCAGCGAGCAAAUAUCGCAUUUACCCUAUUUUGGAGGAUUUCCGGACACAUUUCUUCAAACACCCUCUAAGUUACGCAACACCAUUCUGUGGCCCACGCUCUUUCUCUACGAUAUGAUAUAGCGCAGCUUAACGCAAGAGGCAUUUACUAUUUGCUAGCCGUUUAGCGCCACGUCAUCACCAAGGUUACGAACAGUUCGUUCGUGUGCUGCGCUUAGCGGAGUUGACUGCCGACACGACCCGUGCUCCGCGUGUCUCCCGCGUUUCUGCUGCCUACCAGGCAGAGGGACGGGUUCGGAGGCUGUGGGAGCACAAAGAUAAACGCCAACCCCUCCGGGAAACAAAGAAAAAGUUGAGAUGACCCGUACUAGGUCAGAUACAGUAGGCAAACAAAACCCGUUUGCGACGUUGAUUGCAAGAACGCAAGUCACCGUCUUAUAUCGCUCAAUGACGCUUUACACAAGUUGUCAAGCUUGCGCGUCAUUCAAACCAGCAGCAGAUGACCAGUGUUCACAAAAGUGUUUGUCAGACCUAAACGUUCUCGCAACAUCAAGCGCCAGUUAAUGGCGAAUGCGACCGGCCAUAGACGAGUAGCACUUAACAAAAUAGCUUUACGAAGUUGGUCCAAUUUUUUGUCACGCACCAGCCAGUAAAGUAAAAGCGUCUUCGUAUCAUGGUUAUGCGGUACCAGUAAAUAAUGCGAAAUUGAAAUUAAGCUACGUGCCACACCUGAACUUAUGCCACGGCGUGCAGUGGACGGAGCGUGGGCGCAGCGCUGCCAGUAAAUGUUCCAGCAGGCAUGUUGUUAGUGGAGGAGAGGAACCCUUGCACGGCUCAGCGCCAGUUGUUAGCCGGCACUGCUAUAGUCCCGCGCAGCCUCUCCCUGUAGACGUGAGUGCGCAGGCGCGUCCACAGUCGACGACGCAGCGCGUGCUAUGCCUUGUUUUCAUUCAGGAUACACACUCUCUCUCUCUCUCUCACUCGCUCUCAUGUACACACGGUAUUUUUAAUGCAUAUCAAGCUUCUUACCACUCGCAUAGGUUACUUGCGUAGAACGCUUCACUCUGCCGGGGAGUCGCUUCUCCGUCGCCUGCUGUUGCUCUUUGCGCCAGGCGUUAAAGCUGUAACCUCUCGUUAAGCAUCGCUCUUUUCACGACGACGUAUUUAUUGCCCUUGCUUUCUUUUUCGCCUGCCACGGAAAAAUGUUUUCCAGCUCUUGCCAGUUCAUAUUUUGCCGCCGCAUGCGCUCAACAAGAGCGGCAAUUUUUCAACAUUUACAUUUUACAGUUGUCUACUGCCUCACCUCUGGUUUCCUUUCGAAUCACUGCAACAAACUGCUCUUCUUUAUUUCAUUUUAUGCUUGCAAACCACGUGAGUGCUUUCAUAAAUCUGGAGUCGUGUUAUCGAUCAAGGCGGCCUAGUGCACGAUUGCGCACACAACUCAUUGCUGUUUCGCAUCGCGCUGAUUCGUCAGAUGCAAUGCUGUCCGCGUCGGGUUAGGCUUAGAGUGUCGUAGCAAUUGCUGCAUCGCAUGGUAACGCCGUAGAGAAGGUGGAGUAAUCGUGCUGCUGCCCGCACCGCGUUAUCACGUGGUCAAUAGGAGUUGCACGGGUUAAAAAAAAACCCGUGUUUCAAUUUAUGAGUUUAUGUACGCGAGAAGAAAUUUAAGCAAGCGUGUGAUCGGCGACCAAUUAAUUUUUGUUAUAUCUAUGUAACCGCCGUCUUCGCCUUGAUGGCAACCUUGUUCACCUCGAUAACUUUCAGUGUUCUGAGCUUACUUCGGUGGUCCCGAUCAGCAUAUGUCCGUGCCUGCGGGCUCGCCUACAGCGCACAGGCGUGCUCGUGAUCAAAGCACGUCGUUUAUUGGCUGUCAACGAUGGCGUCGUGCUAGUAUCACACUCAUUUGGCACAGUGCUGUAGGCGAGUCUUGACAUUUAAAGAUCUGAUAAGCAUUCGUUUUAAAAUCGCUUCUGCAAUUUCACAUUUUCUUUAUAACAAGAGAGUAUUUGAAUGAGAAGUUUGUAUGAUUUGAUUUUCAUUUUGUUGUCAUUUCGGUCGUGGCAUUUUGAGGCACGCAAAACCAAUACUGUAUAGCGAUGCUUUACAGUGAGGUUAUCAUUCGUUUCUUCAGCAGCUCUGAUUCUGACCUCUGUGCUCUGGUUCGUUGAGUUUACCCUGCUUUUUUUUUGUUUGAUAGUAGCUGAGCCACAGCAGUAGCAGGAGCGCUGUCCCCGUCUGUUAUUGCGACAGCGCAUUCUGAAAAGUUGUUUCUUACUUUUUCUAAUCACCUGACGCACAUCACUGUAACCCUGGUGUCACAGAUGCCUCAUUUUCGCUUUGACACGAUGACAUAGAUGAAACAAUGCCAUCACCUUGUUCAUUGAAAAGAUUGCAUUGAACUUGUACUCUAUAAUGUUUACCUUCUGAAAAAUAAAGACAGCAACGCAUAAAA